rnacentral:lncRNA from 1 species
AACGCCUGGAACAAUCAUCAGAAAGGAACGGGGAAGACUGUGUAACCAAUCUGCUCCUUUCCACAUUACUCAUCAUCUCAGCCUCUUACCUUAAUGAAAUAUAUGAGUGGCACCUCUGGAAAUUGCUAAAUGGCCACAGUAGCUACCAUUCCUCUGUGUUGAAAGAGGUUAAACUGCCCAAAGACAUAAUUUCAAGUCUUAAUUGAAUGCCAGCAAUUGAACCAUGAGCAGGAUCCCUGAAGAAUGGCCCGCGGGACAGAUUCACUCGGUGACAGGCAGUGACAGUCAGAGCCCAACAAGGAUGCCGGUGCCACCAGAUGUUGCCGAAGCUCAUAAACUGGGUCAGCACAACCACGCUGUUGCAAGAGGUUCCGAACAAAGUGGGCCAGUUGAGGACACACGGCCGCUCAGGAGCUCCCAUGCAGGCAGCUGCUCAGAGACACAAGAAUUAUUAGGUAUCUCCAAAGGCUAUACAAGGAAACUGAAGACGACACAUAGAGUGAAAAAAAAAAAAAAAAAAAACCCAAGGUUGGAAAUGAUUAACUUGGACCAUAUUAAAAAAAUAUAAAGCUAAGCAGUUAAAUUUUAUCACUUGAAUGGAGGAUAUUAGUAGCCUGAAAUUCCUCGGCUUGUUUGGAAUGAUGUUACAGGUUAAUAUCCUGAAAACUGUGCCAACGCUUCAUGUUCUAGGCUUGUUUAUACCACAGCAUAAAUAGCGCACUUGUGGGUGCAUCUAGGUGUCUUUUUUACUAAUUCAUAGAGAUCCAUAAAAACUACAAAUAAAGGACGGUUCUCCAGACCA